rnacentral:lncRNA from 1 species
GUUAAAGUCUUUAAUUAAUAACAGCGUAAUGGUUAUCUGUAGUAUCUACAAUUUCAUUUGCUCUUUUUUGUCUACACUGUAGUAUUAACAAUCAAAGUCAAAGCUCUUGUAUGGUGAUGAAUGCAAUGUUUCAAGAGUCUAUUUGCCAAUUUCCAUUUUGAUUCAGUUAUUACAAUUACAUAGAUGUAUUUUAACCCUUUCCUCCAUGGAUUUUUUUUUUCUCACAUACUGGAUUUGCAUAGGAUUUUUUCAAUAAAAAAAAAAUCAUCAGGUUUAAAGUAUUAAUGCAUUGUGAAAACCAACAUUUCAUCAAUGAAAUUCAAGUCAGAUAUUCUUAUGAAUGUCCUUUUGAUAUUGGAUACUAAUUUUUUUAAGUUUGAUGCAGACAUUUUGUAGUCAAAGCGUUUCAACUGAGGUACUACACAGGCGUUAAAAGGCGUCAUUAUGGAGGAAAGGGGUGGCGUCAAAAAGUGUCAUUAUGGAGGAAAGGGUUAUGACAUAAGUAAACUGCUGCAUAUGCAAAGCAUGAUACUGUGGAUUCAUAUGUUUUGUUGGUAAUCCCAAUUUUUAGUGGGAUAUAUAAGAUAUAACACAUAAAUAUAUAUGAUAUAAAUGUUACCCACAUAAAGACAAAUAUAUCUGUAGGGAGAAGCAUAAAAAAUUAUAAAUUCAAAAAUAGAUGAUAAGUUAUUUAUUGAUUCACAUUGUUUUGCCAUUCAUUCCAUGAAGUGUUAAUAACAGUUUUAAAGAUUGAAAACAUAAAAUAUAAAUUGGUAAAUACAUCCAACUUGAAAUAACUUGUUUGUCAAUGGCAUGUUCACAAAAGUAUAACUGGGAAUUUAGUCUUUAUGUUAUGUAUCUUUAAAGAUAAAUAGUAUACCAAUUCAAAGACAAAACAAGGAAUAUUUGGUCAUAGGACCCUUAGCACUGCUCACACAGUAACAUUUCAAUGUUCAAUGAACCAUAAUAUUGGGGUCAUUACCCUAAUUUGGCAUACAUUUUUAAAGGUACAUAAUGAAAAUGAGUUUUGUGUGGGUUUGACCCCUACUUCCUGGUAAAAUAACUCUAUUAACUUUAAUCUGAUACUGUACCAAUGAAAACACAGACCAGAAACAUAAGACUAUCAUAGGUAGGGCAUAAUAAUUGUUCAGUAAAAUUUAUUAACAACAUACUGAAUGGAGUAGAAUUUUCAUUCAGAAAUAAAAAGAAAACAUUUAAAACAAUUGCUCACUUAAUUUUCAAAAGUA